rnacentral:rRNA from 1 species
AACGAACGCUGGCGGCAUGCCUAACACAUGCAAGUCGAACGAGACCUUCGGGUCUAGUGGCGCACGGGUGCGUAACGCGUGGGAACCUGCCCUUAGGUUCGGAAUAACUCCCCGAAAGGGGUGCUAAUACCGGUUAAUGUCUUCGGACCAAAGAUUUAUCGCCUUUGGAUGGGCCCGCGUUUGAUUCGCUAGUUGGUAGGGUAAAAGCCUACCAAGGCGACGAUCCAUAGCUGGUCUGAGAGGAUGAUCAGCAACACUGGGACUGAGACACGGCCCAGACUCCUACGGGAGGGAGCAGUGGGGAAUAUUGGACAAUGGGCGAAAGCCUGAUCCAGCAAUGCCGCGUGAGUGAUGAAGGCCUUAGGGUUGUAAAGCUCUUUUACCCGGGAUGAUAAUGACAGUACCGGGAGAAUAAGCACCGGCUAACUCCGUG